GACGUAGGGCGCGAGCGUUGUCCGGAUUUAUUGGGCGUAAAGAGCUCGUAGGCGGCUUGUUACGUCGUUCGUGAAAACUUGGGGCUCAACCCCAAGCUUGCGGUCGAUACGGGCAGGCUAGAGUUCGGUAGGGGAGACUGGAAUUCCUGGUGUAGCGGUGAAAUGCGCAGAUAUCAGGAGGAACACCGGUGGCGAAGGCGGGUCUCUGGGCCGAUACUGACGCUGAGGAGCGAAAGCGUGGGGAGCGAACAGG
rnacentral:rRNA from 1 species